rnacentral:lncRNA from 1 species
CACCAACAGUGUAUGCACAUCGCUCGAAUGCAUACCGCAAAAAGCAGAACAGACGCGCGAUGGGAGUCGCCUCCACAACGCGCGAAAACUAGAGCUUACUUCUUUGCUACACGCAAACGAAGUGCCUUGUUAAACCGUGCACAGCCGAAGGUGUAAACAGACGAAAGUAGUAUAUAAGUAGAACAGUACACUCACCUUUACCCGUGCACUCGAGUUGAGGCUGCAGCUCCAAAGCACACACGCGCG